rfam:Mahella australiensis 50-1 BON, complete genome.
GAAUACUGGGCCCGGUAAAGUCUGGCCAACAGCCGGUACUCACUUCUGGAGCCAAAGCCGCGAGGCGAGGCUUAAGCGUGAAGAUGGAGAGCAAGCGAGCCGCAAUGCGAAAGCGUGAAGAGAUUCAGCCUCGUUAGAUGUUUAUGUUGAAGCUGAUGUCGUGCUAUGUACAGCAGGCAGCAAUCCGCAAACGUUAAUGGUGAGGAUGCGGAGGUUCAACCGGGGUCGUAGAGCG